rnacentral:rRNA from 1 species
UAUUAUAUUUAAUAUUAAACAUUACAUAUUUGAUUAUUAAUAGAUAUAUACUUUAAAUUCAAAGAAUUUGGCGGUAUUUUAGUCUUGUUAGAGGAACCUGUUUUAUAAUCGAUAAACCACGUAUAUCUUACUUAUUUUAAAUAAUUUGUAUACCGUCAUUAUUAGAUAACUUUCAAAAAAUUAGUUAUUAAAAUUAAUAAAAUUAAAUAUAUUAGAUCAAGGUGCAGUUAAUAGAUAAGAAAAAAUGGGUUACAAUAAAAUUUAUUUAAUAAACGAAUUAUAUAAAUGAAAAAAUAUAUGAAGGAGGAUUUAAUUGUAAUUUUUUUUUAAAACAAUAAUAUGAUAGUAGCUCUAAAAUAUGUACAUAU